GACGAACGCUGGCGGCGCGCCUAACACAUGCAAGUCGAGCGGGAAGAUUUCGAGAGUAAUCUUGGGAGAUUCUAGCGGCGGACGGGUGAGUAACGCGUGAGUGACCUGCCUUUUACAGGGGAAUAACGUGCCGAAAGGCACACUAAUACCGCAUGAGACCACAGGGCUGCAUGGCCCAGGGGUCAAAGGAGCAAUCCGGUAAAAGAUGGGCUCGCGUCCGAUUAGAUAGUUGGUGGGGUAACGGCCUACCAAGUCGACGAUCGGUAGCCGACCUGAGAGGGUGAUCGGCCACAUUGGAACUGAGAGACGGUCCAAACUCCUACGGGAGGCAGCAGUGGGGAAUAUUGGGCAAUGGGGGAAACCCUGACCCAGCGACGCCGCGUGAGGGAAGAAGGUUUUCGGAUUGUAAACCUCUGUUCUUGGUGAAGAGGGGAAGACGGUAGCCAAGGAGAAAGCCCCGGCUAACUACGUGCCAGCCGCCGCCGUAACAC
rnacentral:rRNA from 1 species